AUCGAACGCUGGCGGCAGGCCUAACACAUGCAAGUCGAGCGAGAGGCGGACGGGUGAGUAAUGUCUGGGAAACUGCCUGAUGGAGGGGGAUAACUACUGGACACGGUAGCUCAUACCGCAUACCAUCAGAUGUGCCUAGAUGGGAUUAGCUAGUAGGUGGGGUAAUGGCUCACCUCGGCGACGAUCCCUAGCGGGUCGGAGAGGAUGACCAGCCGCAUGGGAACGCAGACACGGUCCAGACUACUACGGGAGGCAGCAGUGGUGAAUAUGGCACAAGGGGCGAAAGCCUGAUGCAGCCAUGCCGCGUGUGUGAAGAAGGCCUUCGGGUUGUAAAGCAGGUUCAGCGGGGAGGCGUUACCAGCAGAAGAAGCACCGGCUAACUCCGUGCCAGCAGCCGCGGUAAUAC
rnacentral:rRNA from 1 species